rnacentral:lncRNA from 1 species
GCAAGGGGCUGUAUCUGUAAACUGGCUCAUGUCCAGAAAUUGGUUGAGGGCUCAUGAUUCGGUUUUUAUGAUUUGAGUUAGACUUUUGUUCACCUGACCUUAUACAGACCAAGUAAGAAUGUAGUAGACUUCCCAUUUAUUUCAUUUCUAGGAACACCAUGAUUAACUCCAAUGUCAUAGGCCAACAUGAGUCAGACUUCUGAUUGCUGAAUUGCCUCUGCUGUCCAUUAUAGUAACUGCACCCACCUUGUCUUUGGGGAUUGAUGCUGCCACUUGACUCCUGCCACACCAGGAUCCAAUUAUCCCUAUUGCAUUUCAGUUUUCCAAUUGAGUAAUCACGGUUCCCACUGUAGGAUCUGGCAUAUAAGGAACAGCAAUCACAGAGAUCUCCAGGGAUGCUGGGGCUUCCAUAAGAACCUGUUUCUCAAGGAGUUGGUGAAACAUCUGUUUUCUGGAUCCACCAGUGUGGUUACCAAGAAAGAAGACACAAACUAUAGCUGCAACACUGAGGGAUCGAGGGAAGGUGAGACCUUUGACAUGGAAGCUAGAGCUGAGUUGGCCAAAGAAACCUGGGGAGAAGGACCACGAAGCCCCAGGUGGGUAGCACCACGUAAGUGGAAAUCCACCACCACAUGUGCCACUACACACAGCUCAUAGAUUCCUUUUGUUUUCUUUUUCAGUGGACACUGAGUAAAUUUAUAUUUUCUUGUACAGAGGAGCAAUUGUUCUGAAGCUGGCAGUGGCUGGGCUGCUAGGAAUGGCCACAAGUUUAGGCACUGCCUGCUCCUCAGUCAUUUGUAAAUUUUUAUUUUCUCGUACAGAAGAGCAAUUGUUCUGAAGCUGGCCAUGGCUGGCCUGCUAGGCAUGGCCAUUAGUUUAAUGCAGUGGCUGCUCUUCAGCUGUUGGCCAGCUCAGGCCUGAGCUGAGCAGGAUGGUUGUCACGAUGGUGGCAGCUUUUAGCUCAGAAGAUGCAGAUACGUGCUGAGAGCCAUUGUGGCCGCUCUUUCUUUCCAGAAAAGGUGUGGGAGCUCCAGGCAGGUGAACCUGCCACACUUGUGUUCUGAGGGCCUUUCCUCUUCUCUUGGCUCAUUCUUAUCUCCUGAGUAAGCGAGACUCUCUGCUUCCUCAUCUGCUCCGGGUCUGUGGUUGUUACUGUGAGGCUCAACCUGGCAUUGACCUUCCUAUGUGCCAUCUGACCCUUUUCCUCCCACCUUUACAUCUGACUCUGCCCUGGUUCAUGAAACACCCUGGCCCACCCUCACCUGUGGACGUCUCUGCUUAGCACUUUGCUCAGUCAAGAGGUUUAUCCGUCAUUUGCUGUAGAUAAUUAAUAUGUAUUUAUAUAUACCCUGGGAUAAAUAUAUAUAUUUGUAUUUUAACAUAAAUUAUAUAUAUAUCUAUAUAUCAGGAUUAAAACAUAUAUAUGUGUAUGACCUAAAAUGUGUGUUUCUUUAGCUCAAAAUGUUUACUUUUUACAUUCAAAACACAUUUCCACUUUAAAACAUGUUUACCAUUGUCUAGAAAUGUUUUGAACAUACCAGUUUUCCUGAUGAGCCACUGAACACUUUCUAUGAUGGCUAUGUGGUUUGAUUUUGGAAUGGUCCUACAACUGAAAUGUGCCUUGGCAAAUUUAAUCACCUAAUUAUGGCAUACGAUCUUUCUCAUGUGGUAGAAGUAAAGCUGUUUAUCACAGUGACUUUUGAUAUCAUACACAUUUCUCAAAGUCACAUUACGGGGG